rnacentral:rRNA from 1 species
UACAGAGGGUGCAAGCGUUGUUCGGAAUUAUUGGGCGUAAAGCGCGUGUAGGCGGCUUUGCAAGUCGGGUGUGAAAGCCCUCAGCUCAACUGAGGAAGUGCGCCCGAAACUGCUUGGCUUGAGUACCGGAGAGGAUGGUGGAAUUCCCCAAGUAGAGGUGAAAUUCGUAGAUAUGGGGAGGAACACCGGUGGCGAAGGCGACCAUCUGGACGGAUACUGACGCUGAGACGCGAAAGCGUGGGUAGCAAACAGG